UAGGGAUGGGCGAUACCAGCUUUUUCAUUCGAUACGAUAUUUGCUCGAUAUUUGCCGGGGUUUUUCGAUAUCGAUACCGAUAUCGAUAUUUUCCCAACUUGAAAUCAUUAACAACAGCCACAACGCUAACAAUAUAAACAUUGAAUAAUAUAUGUCAGUGAUUGCAACCAACAUAACCAGAAACUCCCAUCCUUCCCGUGGACCAUUAUAGCACCAUAGAAAAUGAACUAUUUACGCCUAUUUAGGCUUUUUGGUAUCAUUUUCAUGAUGAUGCCGCUGACCAAAAUGAAAAAUAUCGCGGGCGCAGAAGUAUCGAAACAUCGAUAUUUCUUGCCAGUAUCGAUACUUUUCUUCAAAACCCUGGUAUCGAUAGUAUCGAGUAUUUGGUAUCGAUAUCGGCCCAUCCCUAGUUUUAUAUUCUUUCAAAAAUAUCUUGAUAUUUUUAUCAAUUUAUCUUGAAUUGAAGACAGCCAAUUUGAAUGAACUUGCGAUAUUAUUCCGACGUUAUUUAUCAACAUGGAAUCUUAUCAUAGAAAUAAUAGACAUCUAAUAUUUCUAUGAAUCUUAUCCUCAUCUG